rnacentral:tRNA from 1 species
GAUAGAAGUAAUAUAUACAUUUUGGUUUCGGCCCAAAAACAGGGGGUGAAAUUCCCUCUUUAUCU